CUGAAAUUAACAUUAAGAUUUAAAUUGUGAACCGAUUUCGUACAGAUCGUGUGAAUAGUCGUGCGCUCACUUUUUUUUUUAAAUUAUAAACACAGCCUUAAGGCUUUUGAAAGCCUUUGAUCCUUUGAAACAUAAAAUCUUAUAUGUAAAACGGGUUAGGGAUCAUGGAAUUGUUAGGAACAUGCUCUAACACGCCCGAAUUAUCACAAUCGUGCUACUUCGGCUUUUUUUAAGACCUAUAUAUGCUCGUUGACCUAUAUCAACAUGGCGAUGACUAUGGUUAUCAAAAACACAUAAUUAAAUGUUUUAUGGCAUGUGAAGAAAUUAGAACAUUACCUUACAGUGAACUCCUUAGAUACUCCAUGGAAAUGAAGAAUUAUUUUAUCAAUCUUGAUUGUAACUGUGUAUUUACAUAGAAUGUUAUUUUAUUGCAGUUUAAGUGAUACAUAGUAAUUUAGAAAGAUUAAAUAAAAGUAAAUUUCUGAAGGAUAAAAAGAGUAUGUUUUAAAUAACAUUACAUUCCAGCAAGAAAUGUCAAUAAUAAAUAGCAUCUCCGAUGCUAUUUAUGAGAAAAUAUUAUGCUUUUACAUUUUUAUAUCAUAGAUAUCUUUCAAAUGCAUUGGCAGUACGGUGUACAAGAAAGUGUAAUAUUUGAUGCUUUGAAAAAUAGUGUUUACAUAUUCAAUGUGUCAAUGUGCCACAGCACGUAAUUGAAAUUCGUUAUAAACUAUAAACAUAUAUUUUAAUCAAAUAACAUGUUUAUUUUUAUGUGGCAUAGGCUGGAAGAAAAAAUUCCACAUUACUAUGUACUAUAUAUAAACUAAACUGACAAACGGGAAAGAUAUAUAAAUAACUCUUAAAAAUGGCUAAACAUGUACUUUGUUCAAACUGGCUUCAAGCAAUUUAUCUCCUUGUAUGCAGUAUGUAUAAUGAAAUAAGAAAAUAUAUACAACAAUAUUUUCAUAAGCUACAUAGCUGCUGACUUGGCAUGUGGGAAGGUCUCACACCUGAAUUAUUGAAUUUCUACAACUCUGUAAUUUUUUCUGUGUGGUAAUUCACUACCAAUCUUCACAUUUAACAUAAAUGCAACAUCCUGUGUGUAAUAUAAUUGUACAGAAGAAAUGUUUUAGAAUCAUUUGAGUGUGAUGGAGUAAAUGUAUUCUAUAUUAUUCAUACUGCUUCUAAGUAGAGGCUCUUGAAAGCCUGGGUGGUUUUACCAUAGUAUGUAUUGACUUCCCUUAACUUAUGCAAUGAAAAUUCACUUUUGAUCUAGGUUUUAUCAAAAUUUAAGAAAAUGCUAGCUUAGAUGUGUGCUUGUGCUGAAUUAAAAGGAUUUUUGUUUACCAUGUGUUUUGAGGAAUUAAAAACCUGUUAACUUUA